rnacentral:rRNA from 1 species
AACGUAGGUGGCGAGCGUUAUCCGGAAUUACUGGGCGUAAAGCGUGUGCAGGCGGGCGGGUAAGUGGGGUAUGAAAUAUCCCGGCUCAACCGGGAAGGGUUGUGCCAGACUGUCCGUCUUGAGUGCGAGAGAGGAGCGUGGAAUUCCGGGUGUAGUGGUGAAAUGCGCAGAUAUCAGGAGGAACACCGGUGGCGAAGGCGGUUCUCUGGGAAUAUCCUGACGCUGAGGAGCGAAAGUGUGGGGAGCGAACAGG